rnacentral:rRNA from 1 species
GAUGAACGCUGGCGGCGUGCCUAAUACAUGCAAGUCGAGCGAACAGACGAGGAGCUUGCUCCUCUGACGUUAGCGGCGGACGGGUGAGUAACACGUGGAUAACCUACCUAUAAGACUGGGAUCACUUCGGGAAACCGGAGCUAAUACCGGAUAAUAUAUUGAACCGCAUGGUUCAAUAGUGAAAGACGGUUUUGCUGUCACUUAUAGAUGGAUCCGCGCCGCAUUAGCUAGUUGGUAAGGUAACGGCUUAUCAAGGCAACGAUGCGUAGCCGACCUGAGAGGGUGAUCGGCCACACUGGAACGGUGACACGGUCCAGACUCCUACGGGAGGAGCCAGGAGGGAAUCUUCCGCAAUGGGCGAAAGCUUGACGGAGCAACGCCGCGUGAGUGAUGAAGGUCUUCGGAUCCUAAAACUCUGUUAUUAGGUAAGAACAAAUGUGUAAGUAACUAUGCACGUCUUGACGGUACCUAAUCAGAAAGCCACGGCUAACUACGUG